CCUACGGGAGGCAGCAGUGGGGAAUAUUGCUCAAUGGGCGAAAGCCUGACGCAGCGACGCCGCGUGAGGGAUGAAGGUCUUCGGAUCGUAAACCUCUGUCAGCAGGGAAGAACGGUCACUGUGCUAAUCAGCAGUGAAUUGACGGUACCUGCAAAGGAAGCACCGGCUAACUCCGUGCCAGCAGCCGCGGUAAUACGGAGGGUGCGAGCGUUAAUCGGAAUUACUGGGCGUAAAGCGCUCGUAGUCGGUAUGUCAAGUCAAGGGGGAAAUCCCCGCGCUCAACGUGGGAACUGCCUUUGAAACUGGCAAACUGGAGUGUGUGAGAGGAUAGUGGAAUUCCAGGUGUAGGAGUGAAAUCCGUAGAUAUCUGGAGGAACAUCAGUGGCGAAGGCGACUAUCUGGCACAUAACUGACGCUGAGGAGCGAAAGCGUGGGUAGCAAACAGGAUUAGAUACCCGGGUAGUC
rnacentral:rRNA from 1 species